rnacentral:lncRNA from 1 species
GUCAUGUGACUGAGCUCACCUUGUGCAAAAAGGUCAUGCAUAUUUAUAACCUUCUAAUGAGUUAAACAAGAGACUUGGAAAGUUGUAUAAUUAUUUACGUACAUUUUUUUUUUCGUGUUUACUUUCAAUGCAUGUUUUUAUAUCAUUUGUUUCUAAUUAGUUCAUUAAGCCAAUUUUUUUUUUAUUUCAUCUCUUAAAUUAAUGGACAGCUUGUCACCUUUUUUAUACCACUGGCUGUCAAGUUGGUUUCUUUUGGGCUGGCAUCCUUGUUUUUUAUACGACCUCAAAAACUUGUGGCUGUUAAAAGGUAGGCAAUUUCCUCUGAAAGACAUUUAGUUUCCAGUUAACUUGAAUAUUUAUAAGUGUAUUGAUCUCUAUGAAGUUGUACCACAAGGUUUUUUACCACUACAGAAAGGUUGGGAGUUAUUGUCCAAA